GAUGAACGCUGGCGGCGUGCCUAAUACAUGCAAGUCGAGCGAACGGACGAGAAUCUUGCUUCUCUGAUGUUAGCGGCGGACGGGUGAGUAACACGUGUAUAACCUACCUAUAAGACUGGGAUAACUUCGGGAAACCGGCGCUAAUACCGGAUAAUAUUUUGCACCUCAUGGUUCAAAAGUGAAAGACGGUCUUUCUGUCACUUAUAGCUGGAUACGCGCUGGAUUAGCUAGUUGUUAAGGUAACGGCUUACCAAGGCAACGAUGCAUAGCCGACCUGAGAGGGUGAUCGGCCACACUGGAACUGAGACACGGUCCAGACUCCUACGGGAGGCAGCAGUAGGGAAUCUUCCGCAAUGGGCGAAAGCCUGACGGAGCAACGCCGCGUGAGUGAUGAAGGUGUUCGGAUCGUAAAACUCUGUUAUUAGGGAAGAACAGAUGUGUAAGUAACUGUGCACAUAUUGACGGUACCGAAUCAGAAAGCCACGGCUAACUACGUG
rnacentral:rRNA from 1 species